AUCCCAUGGUGAGGAUAGGCCAAGAUGUAAUCCUAAAGCCUUUCCCAUGCCUCAGGGAUUGACUCCGUAGCUGCUUGCUAGAAACAGGAAAUCCUUCCACGAAGGGU
rnacentral:snoRNA from 1 species